UACGGAGGGAGCUAGCGUUGUUCGGAAUUACUGGGCGUAAAGCGCACGUAGGCGGCUUUGUAAGUUAGAGGUGAAAGCCCGGGGCUCAACCCCGGAAUUGCCUUUAAGACUGCAUCGCUUGAAUCCGGGAGAGGUGAGUGGAAUUCUGAGUGUAGAGGUGAAAUUCGUAGAUAUUCGGAAGAACACCAGUGGCGAAGGCGGCUCACUGGACCGGUAUUGACGCUGAGGUGCGAAAGCGUGGGGAGCAAACAGG
rnacentral:rRNA from 1 species